GGAUGGGGUAAACUUCUGACUCUGGUCACAGUCUCAGCUGUAAAAUUGUUGUUGAACAUUGAUUCUUUGUACUGAUAUGAAUUGCUGCAUCCUAAAAAAUGUGGUACAUGCUUGCUGUGUUAUAGAUAUGCCAGUGUUAUUCAUGCCUGCUCUCUGAAACCUGAUCUGGCAAUACUUCCAUAUGGAGACCAGACAGAGAUUGGAGAGCGAGGUAUUAAUCUUUCAGGUGGUCAGAAGCAGAGGGUCAGUUUGGCCAGGGCAGUGUAUUCUAACAGAGACAUCUUCCUUUUGGAUGAUCCUCUGUCUGCUGUUGAUCCACAUGUUGGGAAGCACAUAUUUGAAGAAUGCAUCAAGAAAGAGUUGAAGGGCAAAUCAGUCAUUCUGGUCACUCAUCAGCUGCAGUAUUUGGAGUUUUGUGAUGAGGUGUUGC